rnacentral:tRNA from 1 species
CCGAGGGGUGUGUGUACACAAAGAACUGCUAAUUCCUUGCCCCAAGGUUAAACUCCUAGGACCCC